rnacentral:misc_RNA from 1 species
GCCAAUCACAAAUGUACAAGCAAUUCCCUCGAAACCGGCUUGCUAAUAGCUCAUUCCCUUGUUCUCGGCUCAAAUUCCAGACUCCAGUAGCCAAAUGGGACCUCAAAGGUCAGCAGAUUUUCUUCCUCUUACGAACAGAGAAAUUUCCAGCAGCCUUAACAGUUUUAUCAUCGCUAACAGCUUCAUUCACAUUGGCAGAUUCAGAAAUAUCAUAUAGGGUAUUGUGAUAGAGGUCAUCAAGUAAUGACCAAGAGCAAUCGCAAUUUUCAGAAGUAGCAUCAGAAAUGUUCAAAGGGGAUGGUAGAGCAGGUGGUUUGUUUUUGGAUUGAAAGGAGGCCAGCUUAUGGUAAUUAUCAUCAGGUCCGAGUUCGCGUUCGAGGCCAAAAUCAGAGCGUUCGAGCAAAACACAUGCGUGGAGGAGUCCAUGACAGCAGACGGCGAGCUAGUGGAGAGCAGACCAGCCGCCAGAAAUAGAAGAGUCAGGGCAGCAUAAGAGAUCGGCAACAACGGCGGGAAUGUUUUUGUUACAUUUAGACUUCCAGCAGAUGUUGCGGAUGAGAAAAGAGAACUUGGUGCAGAGACAAGCGAGGCAAGCCCAGUUGUGGGGGUCCUCUCUUCGAGAUUGAAGAGAUUUUGAGGACAACGUCUAACGGUUCGGCAGUUCUCCACUCCUAGUUUUGGCAGGGUGGUAUGUAGAAAUUGCUAAUAUCGAAGAUGCUUAAUUUUUAAACCUCAGCGAACUUAUCAGAUAGAGGGAAGGUGGCUUAGGGCCCUAGCCAAGGGGAGGUACACACCGCACGGGACUAGAACUCCCCUCCCGAGAUAAACGUCGUCGGUCAGCUUUGAGAACACGCUGGCACCCAUAUUUUGU